CUACGGGGUGCUCCAGUGAGGAAUAUUGCACAAUGGGGGGAACCCUGAUGCAGCAACGCCGCGUGGAGGAUGACGCAUUUCGGUGUGUAAACUCCUUUUAUAUGUCAAGAAAAUGACGGUAGCAUAUGAAUAAGCACCGGCUAACUCCGUGCCAGCAGCCGCGGUAAUACGGAGGGUGCGAGCGUUACUCGGAAUCACUGGGCGUAAAGGACGCGUAGGCGGGUUGGGAAGUCAGGUGUGAAAUCCUACAGCUUAACUGUAGAACUGCACUUGAAACUUCUAAUCUAGAGUAUGGGAGGGGGAGAUGGAAUUAGUGGUGUAGGGGUAAAAUCCGUAGAUAUCACUAGGAAUACCUAAAGCGAAGGCGAUCUCCUGGAACAUUACUGACGCUAAGGCGUGAAAGCGUGGGGAGCAAACAGGAUUAGAUACCCGCGUAGUC
rnacentral:rRNA from 1 species